rnacentral:rRNA from 1 species
GACAGAGGCCUCAAGCGUUAGGCGGAAUCACUGGGCGUAAAGCGCGCGCAGGCGGCCUUUUAAGUCUGAUGUGAAAGCCCACGGCUCAACCGUGGAAGGUCAUUGGAAACUGAAAGGCUUGAGUACAGAAGAGGAAAGCGGAAUUCCACGUGUAGCGGUGAAAUGCGUAGAGAUGUGGAGGAACACCAGUGGCGAAGGCGGCUUUCUGGUCUGUAACUGACGCUGAGGCGCGAAAGCGUGGGGAGCAAACAGG